rnacentral:lncRNA from 1 species
GCGCCGCUCCUGACAACAUAAGCCCUUUCUGAUAGGACAACAUUUCCAAUCCAAGAUUAAAAUCUUGGAAACUUGUCAACAGAAAAGGAUGAUAAUAUGAGGGAAACUGCUGCUAUCAAAGAAAAAACGCUCGGCAAGUCAUUUCCGUAAUGGCCGACUUCUAGUAAUUUUCUCUUUCCCCUUCACUCUUAAGUAAAGGGGUUGGCCUGAAGGUCAUUUUAAUAUUUUGGGUUCUUCUUUCCAUUAUUAAUGCCAUACCGAGUCACAGAGCCAUUUGUGAUGGAAUGAGCUUCUCUAAAUCCUGUAAAUUCAUCUGCAGUACUCACUGAUAUUCUCCGACUCAUUCUAAAACACACUGACGUUGCCCUCUACUCCGCAUGCUGAAGGAUAUGUUAAAAGAAUUCCAGAGAAAGGCACAUCUACAUAUUUUGUUGUAUCUGGCACUUCAAAAGGUCUCUGGAGACUGAGACCUGACUGGAAAGGUCCCCAAGUCAACAUGGCAGAGACUCUGAUUAAUAUGGAUGCUUACAGGCUUCAGUGGGACCUCUUCUUUCAACAGAAUUCAGAGGGAAGCUGA